rnacentral:sRNA from 12 species
ACCAAGCCUAGCCCGACGGGGCGAAAAUCGGAUACCUUCAAUCGCUGGCUUGGUUCCUAUCUUUGAAGG